UGGAAGCUUCCCAAUGGGGCGGCAGGGUAGCCUAGUGGUUAGAGUGUAGAGGUGGCAGCGUAGCCUAGUGGUUAGAGUGUAGAGGUGGCAGGGUAGCCUAGUGGUUAGAGUGUAGAGGUGGCAGGGUAGCCUAGUGGUUAGAGUGUAGGGGCGGCAGGGUAGCCUAGUGGUUAGAGUGUAGAGGUGGCAGGGUAGCCUAGUGGUUAGAGUGUAGAGGUGGCAGGGUAGCCUAGUGGUUAGAGUGUAGAGGUGGCAGGGUAGCCUAGUGGUUAGAGUGUAGAGGUGGCAGGGUAGCCUAGUGGUUAGAGUGUAGAGGUGGCAGGGUAGCCUAGUGGUUAGAGUGUAGAGGUGGCAGGGUAGCCUAGUGGUUAGAGUGUAGGGGCGGCAGGGUAGCCUAGUGGUUAGAGUGUAGAGGUGGCAGGGUAGCCUAGUGGUUAGAGUGUAGAGGUGGCAGGGUAGCCUAGUGGUUAGAGUGUAGAGGUGGCAGGGUAGCCUAGUGGUUAGAGUGUAGAGGUGGCAGGGUAGCCUAGUGGUUAGAGUGUAGGGGCGGCAGGGUAGCCUAGUGGUUAGAGUGGAGGGGCGGCAGGGUAGCCUAGUGGUUAGAGUGUAGAGGUGGCAGGGUAGCCUAGUGGUUAGAGUGUAGAGGUGGCAGGGUAGCCUAGUGGUUAGAGUGUAGAGGUGGCAGGGUAGCCUAGUGGUUAGAGUGUAGAGGUGGCAGGGUAGCCUAGUGGUUAGAGUGUAGAGGUGGCAGGGUAGCCUAGUGGUUAGAGUGUAGAGGUGGCAGGGUAGCCUAGUGGUUAGAGUGUAGAGGUGGCAGGGUAGCCUAGUGGUUAGAGUGUAGAGGUGGCAGGGUAGCCUAGUGGUUAGAGUGGAGGGGCGGCAGGGUAGCCUAGUGGUUAGAGUGUAGAGGUGGCAGGGUAGCCUAGUGGUUAGAGUGGAGGGGCGGCAGGGUAGCCUAGUGGUUAGAGUGUAGAGGUGGCAGGGUAGCCUAGUGGUUAGAGUGUAGAGGGGGCAGGGUAGCCUAGUGGUUAGAGUGUAGAGGUGGCAGGGUAGCCUAGUGGUUAGAGUGGAGGGGUG